rnacentral:rRNA from 1 species
AGCGAACGCUGGCGGCAGGCUUAACACAUGCAAGUCGAGCGGGCAUCCUUGUGGUGUCAGCGGCAGACGGGUGAGUAACGCGUGGGAACGUGCCCUUCGGUUCGGAAUAACUCAGGGAAACUUGAGCUAAUACCGGAUACGUGCGAGAGCAGAAAGGUUUAUCUGCCGAAGGAUCGGCCCGCGUUUGAUUAGCUAGUUGGUGAGGUUAUGGCUCACCAAGGCGACGAUCAGUAGCUGGUCUGAGAGGAUGAUCAGCCACACUGGGACUGAGACACGGCCCAGACUCCUACGGGAGGCAGCAGUGGGGAAUAUUGGACAAUGGGGGCAACCCUGAUCCAGCCAUGCCGCGUGAGUGAUGACGGCCUUAGGGUUGUAAAGCUCUUUUCUCCGGGACGAUAAUGACGGUACCGGAGGAAUAAGCCCCGGCUAACUUCGUG